AACAACUGAUUGACUGAAAGUAGGAAUGAAAGCCGUCAGGUUGAGCUGAAACUACUUAUCUGAUACUCCUACAUGCAAGGCGUGAUAGUAGUCACAAAUUGUAUGGAGCUAGGUGAAGUCGGCUGAACAAAACCUAAGUGAGAAAAGAAAUCAUAUGGUAAUGGAUAGGUCGGGAUGCUACAAA
rfam:Bacillus thuringiensis IBL 200 contig00358, whole genome shotgun sequence.